rnacentral:rRNA from 1 species
UACGUAGGGGGCAAGCGUUGUCCGGAAUCAUUGGGCGUAAAGCGCGCGUAGGCGGCCCGGUAAGUCCGCUGUAAAAGUCAAAGGCUCAACCGUUUGAAUGCCGGUGGAUACUGUCGGACUAGAGUCCGGAAGAGGAGAGUGGAAUUCCGUGGUGUAGCGGUGAAAUGCGCAGAUAUCAGGAAGAACACCUAUGGCGAAGGCAGCUCUCUGGGACGGUACUGACGCGAGACGCGAAAGCGUGGGGAGCGAACAGG